ACCACCCAACCUGCAGCACGUAAUCCCAUCAGAUCUCACCCCUUCCUCGAGCGUGGGACACCCACCAGCGAAGGAGCUCGAGCUCGCGGCGCUCUGCCGCUACAUGGCUAGAGGACGCCCCAGGCUUCAGAUAUGCGCAUAGCAAUUAACAGAGGCGCAGUGAAAAAGUUGCAGCGGCUCCUCGCUCAGAUCCAGCCCCUUGAGUGUGAUUCCUCCCGCAUCCGGGCGAGGUGGAGGCUACCGUGGUGUCUCGGAACGGCGGGUGGUGAGACACGGGCAGAGAUGCUCCUCACCGCUGGCGUCUGGAUCCGCGCCAUCGAGCCGUGCCCGAGCUUCUCGAAUGAUUCUUGUGGCGGCGACGGCGACGACCACGGCAUAGCGAAGCGAUGACCGGCGGCAGCCCAGUGUCAACGUGCAGGGGGAGAUGCGUUUCACGGCCAGCGUUCGGAUCCGCACCAUCGAACCGUGCCGGAGGUUCUCAGGAUGGUGGCGCACGACCCAUGGAGCACAACCAUGGUCGGAUCUUAGGGAGCACAACCAUGGACGAAUCCCAGGGAGCACGACAUAGCGCGGCCGAGGACCCCCUGCUACUUUCGCUUGCAAGACCCCCAUCCUUGCAUAAGAGCACCAAUCGCCUGCUCGGUGGCCAUAAUUUCUAUGCGUAUUUUGCUUCUUCUUACUUUGGAUCCCUAACUAGCGAGCCUGUUUCUUUCUCUGAAUUUUUCCCCUUUCACUAUCACACACUUUGAUUUAGCUGUAGCUAAUGCAGACCAUGGGUGGUACAGAUCACUAGCUAGCCAGGUCUGCAUCUUUCUCUGACAUUCUCCUCAUUCACUAGCGAGGUGUAGUGUGAUUCUAAAAAAACGUAUUGACGAGAUGAACCUUGUGAUUUCUGAAGUAAACAACAUGUGCUAGAUUUUACUCUAAUUUGUUGUGCAAAGUACCAAUGCCAACUUUACACCUGCCUGGCAACAUAACAUCAACAGUAAUCCUCCGGUGUGGUCGAGUUCGACACAUGUUUGUGCGGCUUUACCUUGGUUCUACUGCCCUCCAUUGUAUUAUCUUUUAUUUGUCUAGAAUCAGGUUUUGAAUCAAGUAUUUAGGGCCAUUUUUCAUUAAUUGGUUGAAUUUUGUUCUGUAGUUGUUGUCGGCAUUGUCCAUUUGGUCCGAAGUAGCAUUUCCCCCCUGCGUGAAGAUGAUUUGACUCUGCUCUAUCAGGAUCAGACUGUUUGUAACCUACUGAUUUAAUUUGUAGAUUACACGAGCUCAUUUGAGGAGAGGGAGGUACAGGACAAAGGGAAGAUCCAAAAUAAUUAUAAAAAACAAAGGGAAAAAGGAGAGUUAUGCACGAAUCAGAGAUGACAUACUAAGGAGGUUUAGUGCCUGAAAUCAUAACUAAGUUGAGUCUGCAUUUCCCAAUGUUUAUGCCGAUGGAAACAUAUGCAUAGAUAUCCUUCAGAGCCGGUGUAGUCCAACAUAUGCACUAGCUAAUAUCCUUACAUUCGUCCAGUAACUAGAAAUAAGCAGCUCAAUUAUUUACACAUCAAUGUUUUGUUUGUUACAUAUACGAGAUCAUAUAUAUCUGAAAAUGUUUUAAC